rnacentral:hammerhead_ribozyme from 1 species
AUCCAACUGACGAGUCCCAAAUAGGACGAAAUGCGCAU